AACGAACGCUGGCGGCAUGCCUAACACAUGCAAGUCGAACGAGACCUUCGGGUAUAGUGGCGCACGGGAGCGUAACGCGUGGGAACCUGCCCUUAGGUUCGGAAUAACUCCCCGAAAGGGGCGCUAAUACCGGAUAAUGUCUUCGGACCAAAGAUUUAUCGCCUUUGGAUGGGCCCGCGUUGGAUUAGCUAGUUGGUAGGGUAAAAGCCUACCAAGGCGACGAUCCAUAGCUGGUCUGAGAGGAUGAUCAGCCACACUGGGACUGAGACACGGCCCAAACUCCUACGGGAGGCAGCAGUGGGGAAUAUUGGACAAUGGGCGAAAGCCUGAUCCAGCAAUGCCGCGUGAGUGAUGAAGGCCUUAGGGUUGUAAAGCUCUUUUACCCGGGAUGAUAAUGACAGUACCGGGAGAAUAAGCUCCGGCUAACUCCGUG
rnacentral:rRNA from 1 species